GAUGAACGCUGGCGGCGUGCCUAAUACAUGCAAGUCGAGCGAACGGACGAGAAGCUUGCUUCUCUGAUGUUAGCGGCGGAAGGGUGAGUAACACGUGGAUAACCUACCAAUAAGACUGGGAUAACUUCGGGAAACCGGAGCUAAUACCGGAUAAUAUUUUGAACCGCAUGGUUCAAAAGUGAAAGACGGUCUUGCUGUCACUUAUAGAUGGAUCCGCGCUGCAUUAGCUAGUUGGUAAGGUAACGGCUUACCAAGGCAACGAUGCAUAGCCGACCUGAGAGGGUGAUCGGCCACACUGGAACUGAGACACGGUCCAGACUCCUACGGGAGGCAGAAGUAGGGAAUCUUCCGCAAUGGGCGAAAGCCUGACGGAGCAACGCCGCGUGAGUGAUGAAGGUCUUCGGAUCGUAAAACUCUGUUAUUAGGGAAGAACAUAUGUGUAAGUAACUGUGCACAUCUUGACGGUACCUAAUCAGAAAGCCACGGCUAACUACGU
rnacentral:rRNA from 1 species